GCGAACGGGUGAGUAACACGUGGGCAAUCUGCCCUUCACUCUGGGACAAGCCCUGGAAACGGGGUCUAAUACCGGAUAACACCGGCUUCCGCAUGGAAGCUGGUUAAAAGCUCCGGCGGUGAAGGAUGAGCCCGCGGCCUAUCAGCUUGUUGGUGGGGUAAUGGCCUACCAAGGCGACGACGGGUAGCCGGCCUGAGAGGGCGACCGGCCACACUGGGACUGAGACACGGCCCAGACUCCUACGGGAGGCAGCAGUGGGGAAUAUUGCACAAUGGGCGAAAGCCUGAUGCAGCGACGCCGCGUGAGGGAUGACGGCCUUCGGGUUGUAAACCUCUUUCAGCAGGGAAGAAGCGAAAGUGACGGUACCUGCAGAAGAAGCGCCGGCUAACUACGUGCCAGCAGCCGCGGUAAUACGUAGGGCGCAAGCGUUGUCCGGAAUUAUUGGGCGUAAAGAGCUCGUAGGCGGCUUGUCACGUCGGGUGUGAAAGCCCGGGGCUUAACCCCGGGUCUGCAUCCGAUACGGGCAGGCUAGAGUGUGGUAGGGGAGAUCGGAAUUCCUGGUGUAGCGGUGAAAUGCGCAGAUAUCAGGAGGAACACCGGUGGCGAAGGCGGAUCUCUGGGCCAUUACUGACGCUGAGGAGCGAAAG
rnacentral:rRNA from 1 species